rnacentral:rRNA from 1 species
UAGCGUAUAUUAAAGUUGUUGCGGUUAAAAAGCUCGUAGUUGGAUUUCAGUUCCGGACUGACUGUUCACCGCCCGGUGCCUACUGUCACGCUCCGAACAGCCGCACCGCCGGCUCGCACGGGGUGCUCUUCAUCGAGUGUCCCGAGUGGCUGGCACGUUUACUUUGAAAAAAUUAGAGUGCUCAGAGCAGGCUCCUUGAACGGCCUGAAUGUCUAUGCAUGGAAUAAUGGAAUAGGACCUCGGUUCUAUUUUGUUGGUUUUCGGAACCCGAGGUAAUGACUAAUAGGAACAGGCGGGGGCAUUCGUAUUGCGACGCUAGAGGUGAAAUUCUUGGACCGUCGCAAGACGAACUACUGCGAAAGCAUUUGCCAAGGAUGUUUUCAUUAAUCAAGAACGAAAGUUAGAGGUUCGAAGGCGAUCAGAUACCGCCCUAGUUCUAACCAUAAACGAUGCUGACUAGCGAUCCGCCGGCGUUAUUCCCAUGACCCGGCGGGCAGCUUCCGGGAAACCAAAGUCUUUGAGUUCCGGGGGAAGUAUGGUUGCAAAGCUGAAACUUAAAGGAAUUGACGGAAGGGCACAGGAAUUGACG